rnacentral:rRNA from 1 species
UACGUAGGGCGCAAGCGUUGUCCGGAAUUAUUGGGCGUAAAGAGCUCGUAGGCGGCCUGUUGCGUCCGCUGUGAAAUCCCGGGGCUUAACCCCGGGCUUGCAGUGGAUACGGGCAGGCUGGAGGCAGGCAGGGGAGAACGGAAUUCCCGGUGUAGCGGUGAAAUGCGCAGAUAUCGGGAGGAACACCGGUGGCGAAGGCGGUUCUCUGGGCCUUGACCUGACGCUGAGGAGCGAAAGCGUGGGGAGCGAACAGG